rnacentral:rRNA from 1 species
GAUGAACGCUGGCGGCGUGCCUAAUACAUGCAAGUCGAGCGAACGGACGAGAAGCUUGCUUCUCUGAUGUUAGCGGCGGACGGGUGAGUAACACGUGGAUAACCUACCUAUAAGACUUGGAUAACUUCGGGAAACCGGAGCUAAUACCGCAUCAUAUUUUGAACCGCAUGGUUCAAAAGUGAAAGACGCUCUUGCUGUCACUUAUAGAUGGAUCCGCGCUGCAUUAGCUAGUUGGUAAGGUAACGGCUAACCAAGGCAACGAUGCAUAGCCGACCUGAGAGGGUGAUCGGCCACACUGGAACUGAGACACGGUCCAGACUCCUACGGGAGGCAGCAGUAGGGAAUGUUCCGCAAUGGGCGAAAGCCUGACGGAGCAACGCCGCGUGAGUGAUGAAGGUCUUCGGAUCGUAAAGCUCUGUUAUUAGGGAAGAACAUAUGUGUGAGUAACUGUGCACAUCUUGACGGUACCUAAACAGAAAGCCACGGCUAACUACGUG